rnacentral:rRNA from 1 species
UACGUAGGGUGCAAGCGUUGUCCGGAAUUAUUGGGCGUAAAGGGCUCGUAGGCGGUCUGUUACGUCGGGAGUGAAAACUCGGGGCUCAACCCCGAGCCUGCUUCCGAUACGGGCAGACUAGAGGUAUGCAGGGGAGAAUGGAAUUCCUGGUGUAGCGGUGAAAUGCGCAGAUAUCAGGAGGAACACCGGUGGCGAAGGCGGUUCUCUGGGCAUUACCUGACGCUGAGGAGCGAAAGCGUGGGGAGCGAACGGG